GACAGAGGGUGCAAGCGUUAAUCGGAAUUACUGGGCGUAAAGGGCCUGUAGGUGGUUGAUUAAGUCGGUUGUGAAAACCAUGGGCUUAACCUGUGGCUGUCAUCCGAGACUGAUCGACUAGAGUUGAGUAGAGGAGAGUGGAAUUUCCGGUGUAGCGGUGAAAUGCGUAGAUAUCGGAAGGAACACCAGUGGCGAAGGCGGCUCUCUGGACUCAAACUGACACUGAGGGGCGAAAGCGUGGGGAGCAAACAGG
rnacentral:rRNA from 1 species